UCAGGAUGAACGCUAGCGACAGGCCUAACACAUGCAAGUCAGGGGCAGCACAAGGAGCAAUCUGAGGUGGCGACCGGCGCACGGGUGAGUAACACGUAUGCAACCUGCCUGUAAGCGGGGAAUAACCCGUUGAAAGACGGACUAAUACCGCAUAAUACUAAAUUACUGCAUGGUAAUUUAUUUAAACAUUUAUGGCUUACAGAUGGGCAUGCGCAUGAUUAGCUAGUUGGAGAGGUAACGGCUCCCCAAGGCAACGAUCAUUAGGGGUUCUGAGAGGAAGGUCCCCCACACUGGUACUGAGACACGGACCAGACUCCUACGGGAGGCAGCAGUGAGGAAUAUUGGUCAAUGGACGAGAGUCUGAACCAGCCAAGUCGCGUGCAGGAAGAAUUGUCCUAUGGAUUGUAAACUGCUUUUGCAGGGGAAUAAAGUGCAUCACGUGUGAUGUUUUGUAUGUACUCUGCGAAUAAGGAUCGGCUAACUCCGUGCCAGCCGCCGC
rnacentral:rRNA from 1 species